rnacentral:rRNA from 1 species
GGGUUGUGAGGUUAAGCGACUAAGCGUACACGGUGGAUGCCCUGGCAGUCAGAGGCGAUGAAGGACGUGCUAAUCUGCGAUAAGCGUCGGUAAGGUGAUAUGAACCGUUAUAACCGGCGAUUUCCGAAUGGGGAAACCCAGUGUGAUUCGUCACACUAUCAUUAACUGAAUCCAUAGGUUAAUGAGGCGAACCGGGAGAACUGAAACAUCUAAGUACCCCGAGGAAAAGAAAUCAACCGAGAUUCCCCCAGUAGCGGCGAGCGAACGGGGAGCAGCCCAGAGCCUGAAUCAGUGUGUGUGUUAGUGGAAGCGUCUGGAAAGGCGCGCGAUACAGGGUGACAGCCCCGUACACAAAAAUGCACAUACUGUGAGCUCGAUGAGUGGGCGGGACACGUGGUAUCCUGUCUGAAUAUGGGGGGACCAUCCUCCAAGGCUAAAUACUCCUGACUGACCGAUAGUGAACCAGUACCGUGAGGGAAAGGCGAAAAGAACCCCGGCGAGGGGAGUGAAAAAGAACCUGAAACCGUGUACGUACAAGC